ACUGCUCAGUAACACGUGGAUAACCUGCCCUUGGGUCCGGCAUAACCCCGGGAAACUGGGGAUAAUUCCGGAUAACGCAUAUAUGCUGGAAUGCUUUAUGCGUAAAAUGGAUUUGUCUGCCCAAGGAUGGGUCUGCGGCCUAUCAGGUAGUAGUGGGUGUAAUGUACCUACUAGCCAACAACGGGUACGGGUUGUGAGAGUAAGAGCCCGGAGAUGGAUUCUGAGAUAUGAAUCCAGGCCCUACGGGGCGCAGCAGGCGCGAAAACUUUACAAUGCGGGAAACCGUGAUAAGGGGACACCGAGUGCCAGCAUUAUAUGCUGGCUGUUUAGGUGUGUAAAAUACACCUGUCAGCAAGGGCCGGGCAAGACCGGUGUUAGCCGUUGUGGUAACACCGGCGGCCCGAGUGGUGAUCGUGAUUAUUGGGUCUAAAGGGUCCGUAGCCGGUUUGGUCAGUCCUCCGGGAAAUCUGACGGCUUAACCGUUAGGCUUUCGGGGGAUACUGCCAGGCUUGGAACCGGGAGAGGUAAGAGGUACUACAGGGGUAGGAGUGAAAUCUUGUAAUCCCUGUGAGACCACCUGUGGCGAAGGCGUCUUACCAGAACGGGUUCGACGGUGAGGGACGAAAGCUGGGGGUACGAACCGGAUUAGAUAUCCGGGUAGUCCCAGCCGUAAACGAUGCUCGCUAGGUGUCAGGCAUGGCGUGACCGUGUCUGGUGCCGCAGGGAAGCCGUGAAGCGAGCCACCUGGGAAGUACGGCCGUAAGGCUGAAACUUAAAGGAAUUGGCGGGGGAG
rnacentral:rRNA from 1 species